AAACCAUACAUUAGGCAUUUGAGUUGCAAAUCCUUGAAACGAUCCCAACCUUCAUAUAGGUUUUCAUCCUCCAUGUGCUUGAAUGACGUGAGAUCAUUUCUCGGCUU